UACGAAGGGGGGCGAGCGUUGUUCGGAAUUACUGGGCGUAAAGGGCGCGCAGGCGGUCCUUCAAGUCAGAUGUGAAAGCCCCGGGCUCAACCUGGGAAUUGCGAUGGAGACUGCAAGGCUUGAAUCUGGCAGAGGGGGGUAGAAUUCCACGUGUAGCAGUGAAAUGCGUAGAGAUGUGGAGGAACACCGAUGGCGAAGGCAGCCCCCUGGGUCAAGAUUGACGCUCAUGCACGAAAGCGUGGGGAGCAAACAGG
rnacentral:rRNA from 1 species